UACAGGGGGGGCAAGCGUUGUUCGGAAUUACUGGGCGUAAAGGGCUCGUAGGCGGCCAACUAAGUCAGACGUGAAAUCCCCAGGCUCAACCUGGGAACUGCGUCUGAUACUGGAUGGCUUGAAUCCGGGAGAGGGAUGCAGAAUUCCAGGUGUAGCGGUGAAAUGCGUAGAUAUCUGGAGGAAUACCGGUGGCGAAGGCGGCAUCCUGGACCGGCAUUGACGCUGAGGAGCGAAAGCUAGGGGAGCAAACGGG
rnacentral:rRNA from 1 species